GACGAACGCUGGCGGCGUGCCUAAUACAUGCAAGUAGAACGCUGAAGAGAGGAGCUUGCUCUUCUUGGAUGAGUUGCGAACGGGUGAGUAACGCGUAGGUAACCUGCCUUGUAGCGGGGGAUAACUAUUGGAAACGAUAGCUAAUACCGCAUAACAAUGGAUGACACAUGUCAUUUAUUUGAAAGGGGCAAUUGCUCCACUACAAGAUGGACCUGCGUUGUAUUAGCUAGUAGGUGAGGUAAUGGCUCACCUAGGCGACGAUACAUAGCCGACCUGAGAGGGUGAUCGGCCACACUGGGACUGAGACACGGCCCAGACUCCUACGGGAGGCAGCAGUAGGGAAUCUUCGGCAAUGGGAGCAACCCUGACCGAGCAACGCCGCGUGAGUGAAGAAGGUUUUCGGAUCGUAAAGCUCUGUUGUAAGUCAAGAACGGGUGUGAGAGUGGAAAGUUCACACUGUGACGGUAGCUUACCAGAAAGGGACGGCUAACUACGUG
rnacentral:rRNA from 1 species